rnacentral:rRNA from 1 species
CACGUAGGGCGCAAGCGUUGUCCGGAAUUAUUGGGCGUAAAGAGCUCGUAGGCGGUCUGUUGCGUCCGCUGUGAAAACUCGGGGCUUAACCCCGAGCCUGCAGUGGAUACGGGCAGACUAGAGGUAGGUAGGGGAGAGUGGAAUUCCUGGUGUAGCGGUGAAAUGCGCAGAUAUCAGGAAGAACACCCGUGGCUAAGGCGGCUCUCUAGUACGGUACUGACGCUGAGACGCGAAAGCGUGGGGAGCGAACAGG